rfam:Drosophila grimshawi strain TSC#15287-2541.00 Ctg01_20220, whole genome shotgun sequence.
UAAUGCUUGGCUUGCACAGAAUCAAUACCGCGGUUGAUUUCCUUUAAAUUGUGCUUAAGCUUUAUUU